GCGUUGGUGGUUUAGUGGUAAAAUCCGUCGUUGCCAUCCGAAGCCAUUUGGGACGAUUCGACGGGCCCCGGGUUCGAUUCCCGGCCGACGCA
rnacentral:tRNA from 1 species